rnacentral:rRNA from 1 species
UACGGAGGGUGCAAGCGUUAUCCGGAUUUAUUGGGUUUACAGGGUCCGUAGGCGGAUCUGUAAGUCAGUGGUGAAAUCUCACAGCUUAACUGUGAAACUGCCAUUGAUACUGCAGGUCUUGAGUAAGGUAGAAGUGGCUGGAAUAAGUAGUGUAGCGGUGAAAUGCAUAGAUAUUACUUAGAACACCAAGUGCGAAGGCAGGUCACUAUGUCUUAACUGACGCUGAUGGACGAAAGCGUGGGGAGCGAACAGG